rnacentral:rRNA from 1 species
GACGAACCGUACGAACGUUAUUCGGAAUCACUGGGCUUAAAGGGUGCGUAGGCGGCGCAGUAAGUUGGGUGUGAAAUCCCUCGGCUUAACCGAGGAAUUGCGCCCAAAACUACUGUGCUCGAGGGAGGUAGAGGUGAGCGGAACUUAGGGUGGAGCGGUGAAAUGCGUAGAGAUCGGGAGGAACACCAGUGGCGAAGGCGGCCAUCUGGAUCAACACUGACGCUGAGGCACGAAAGCGUGGGGAGCAAACAGG